rnacentral:rRNA from 1 species
UUGACGGGGCCCGGCACAAGCGGUGGAGUAUGUGGUUAAUUCGAUGCAACGCGAAGAACCUUACCUGGUCUUGACAUCCCGGAGACCCUUAGGAAACUAGGGGGUGCUUCCAUCUGGAAGAAUCUGGAGACAGGUGCUGCAUGGCUGUCGUCAGCUCGUGUCGUGAGAUGUUGGGUUAAGUCCCGCAACGAGCGCAACCCUUGCCUUUAGUUGCCAGCAGUUCGGCUGGGCACUCUAAAGGGACUGCCGGUGUUAAACCGGAGGAAGGUGGGGAUGACGUCAAGUCCUCAUGGCCUUUAUGACCAGGGCUACACACGUACUACAAUGGCCGAUACAAAGGGCAGCGACACUGCGAGGUGAAGCCAAUCCCGUAAAAUCGGUCUCAGUCCGGAUUGGAGUCUGCAACUCGACUCCAUGAAGUUGGAAUCGCUAGUAAUCGUGGAUCAGCAUGCCACGGUGAAUACGUUCCCGGGCCUU